CGGAUAGCUCAGUUGGUAGAGCGGAGGACUGAAAAUCCUUGUGUCCCUGGUUCGAUUCCUGGUCCGG
rnacentral:tRNA from 1 species